GGAGGAGUCGCCUAGUGGUCUAUGGCACACGCCUGGAAAGCGUGACCCUUCGGGGUUCGUGGGUUCAAAUCCCACCUCCUCCG
rnacentral:tRNA from 1 species